rnacentral:rRNA from 1 species
UACAGAGGGUGCGAGCGUUGUUCGGAAUUAUUGGGCGUAAAGGGCGCGUAGGCGGCAUGACAAGUCACUUGUGAAAUCUCUGGGCUUAACCCAGAACGGCCAAGUGAUACUGUCGCGCUAGAGUGCGGAAGGGGCAAUCGGAAUUCUCGGUGUAGCGGUGAAAUGCGUAGAUAUCGAGAGGAACACCUGAGGUGAAGACGGGUUGCUGGGCCGACACUGACGCUGAGUGCGCGAAAGCCAGGGGAGCAAACGGG